GUCGCUUUGGCUGAGUGGUUAAGGCGUGUGCCUGCUAAGUAGAUGGGGUUUUCCCCGCGAGAGUUCGAAUCUUUCAGGCGACG